CCUACGGGAGGCAGCAGUGGGGAAUAUUGCGCAAUGGCCGAAAGGCUGACGCAGCGACGCCGCGUGGGGGAUGAAGCAUUUCGGUGUGUAAACCCCUGUUGCCCGGGACGAACAACUGGUUUUGACCAGUCUGACGGUACCGGGUGAGGAAGCACCGGCUAACUCCGUGCCAGCAGCCGCGGUAAUACGGAGGGUGCGAGCGUUGUCCGGAAUCACUGGGCGUAAAGGGCGCGUAGGCGGUCUGCUAAGCGUGUGGUGAAAGCUCGGGGCUCAACCCCGAGUCGGCCAUGCGAACUGGUGGACUUGAGCACUGUAGAGGCAGGUGGAAUUCCGGGUGUAGCGGUGGAAUGCGUAGAGAUCCGGAAGAACACCGGUGGCGAAGGCGGCCUGCUGGGCAGUAGCUGACGCUGAGGCGCGACAGCGUGGGGAGCAAACAGGAUUAGAUACCCUGGUAGUCCACGCCGUAAACGAUGGGAACUAGGUGCUUGGGGGAGCGACCCCGACGUGCGGCGCACGCAUAGUCCCGUCCGUGGAGACGACCGCGAGUAGAACGACGAAGAAGUAGUUAGCGUGAGAGUGCGACGGCGACGACGAGGGAGAGG
rnacentral:rRNA from 1 species